CCUACGGGGGGCAGCAGUCGGGAAUAUUGCGCAAUGGAGGAAACUCUGACGCAGUGACGCCGCGUAUAGGAAGAAGGUUUUCGGAUUGUAAACUAUUGUCGUUAGGGAAGAGAAAGGACAGUACCUGAGUAAGAAGCCCCGGCUAACUACGUGCCAGCAGCCGCGGUAAUACGUAGGGGGCAAGCGUUAUCCGGAAUUACUGGGUGUAAAGGGAGCGUAGACGGUAAUGCAAGUCUGGAGUGAAAGGCGGGGGCCCACCCCCCGGACUGCUCUGGAAACUGUGUAACUGGAGGGCAGGAGAGGCG
rnacentral:rRNA from 1 species